CCUACGGGAGGCAGCAGUGGGGGAUAUUGCACAAUGGGGGGAACCCUGAUGCAGCGACGCCGCGUGGGUGAAGAAGCGCCUCGGCGCGUAAAGCCCUGUCAGCAGGGAAGCAAAUGACGGUACCUGAAGAAGAAGCCCCGGAUAACUACGUGCCAGCAGCCGCGGUAACACGUAGGGGGCCAGCGUUAACCGGAUUUACUGGGUGUAAAGGGGGCGCAGGCGGCGAUGCAAGGCAGGAGUGAAAGCCCGGGGCCGAACCCCGGGAGUGCUCUUGACACUGCGUGGCUGGAGUGCAGGAGGGGCAGGCGGAAUGCGUGGUGGAGCGGUGAAAUGCGUAGAUAUCAGGAGGAACACCGGUGGCGAAGGCGGCCUGCUGGAGUGCAACUGACGUUGAGGCCCGAAAGCGUGGGGAGCAAACAGGAUUAGAUACCCGAGUAGUC
rnacentral:rRNA from 1 species